rnacentral:rRNA from 1 species
GACGAACGCUGGCGGCGUGCUUAACACAUGCAAGUCGAACGGAAAGGCCCUGCUUUUGUGGGGUGCUCGAGUGGCGAACGGGUGAGUAACACGUGAGUAACCUGCCCUUGACUUUGGGAUAACUUCAGGAAACUGGGGCUAAUACCGGAUAGGAGCUCCUGCUGCAUGGUGGGGGUUGGAAAGUUUCGGCGGUUGGGGAUGGACUCGCGGCUUAUCAGCUUGUUGGUGGGGUAGUGGCUUACCAAGGCUUUGACGGGUAGCCGGCCUGAGGGGGUGACCGGCCACAUUGGGACUGAGAUACGGCCCAGACUCCUACGGGAGGCAGCAGUGGGGAAUAUUGCACAAUGGGCAGAAGCCUGAUGCAGCAACGCCGAGUGCGGGAAGACGGCCUUCGGGUUGUAAACCGCUUUCGCCUGUGACGAAGCGUGAGUGACGGUAAUGGGUAAAGAAGCACCGGCUAACUACGU